AUUUCUGCUCAAUGACGUAAAUAGCCGCAGUACUCUGACUGUGCAAAGGUAGCAUAAUCAGUUGGCUUUUAAUUGGGGUCUGGUAUGAACGAAAAUAUGGGUGGCGACUGUCUUAACAUAUUUAAGCAAACUUAUUUAGCAAGUGAAAAUCCUUGCUGUCACAAAAAAGACGAGAAGACCCUAGAAACUUGAAGUAGGUUUUGUUGGGGCGACAGAAUUACAUUUAACUAAUUUAUAAAACACGUCAUACGUUUGAUUGAAUAAGUUACUCUAGGGAUAACAGCAUAAUUUUUAUAGUUUGUGACCUCGAUGUUGGACUAGGUAGUCCACCCUUGAGGUAAGGGUAGAAGAUGCUCUGUUCGAGCAAUUACACCUACAU
rnacentral:rRNA from 1 species